rnacentral:rRNA from 1 species
UACGUAGGGUGCAAGCGUUGCUCGGAAUUAUUGGGCGUAAAGGGUAGGUAGGUGGUCUUAUUUGUCUGGGGUGAAAGCCUUGGGCUUAACCCAAGAAGUGCCCCAGAAACGGUAAGACUAGAGUCCUGGAGAGGGUCGUGGAAUUCCCGGUGUAGCGGUGAAAUGCGUAGAGAUCGGGAGGAACACCAGAGGCGAAGGCGGCGACCUGGACAGGCACUGACACUCAACUACGAAAGCGUGGGGAGCAAACAGG